AACGAACGCUGGCGGCAGGCUUAACACAUGCAAGUCGAACGCACCGCAAGGUGAGUGGCAGACGGGUGAGUAACACGUGGGGAUCUGCCCAAUGGUACGGAAUAGCUCCGGGAAACUGGAAUUAAUACCGUAUGUGCCCGCAAGGGGAAAGAUUUAUCGCCAUUGGAUGAACCCGCGUCGGAUUAGCUAGUUGGUGAGGUAAAGGCCCACCAAGGCGACGAUCCGUAGCUGGUCUGAGAGGAUGAUCAGCCACACUGGGACUGAGACACGGCCCAGACUCCUACGGGAGGCAGCAGUGGGGAAUAUUGGACAAUGGGCGCAAGCCUGAUCCAGCCAUGCCGCGUGAGUGAUGAAGGCCUUAGGGUUGUAAAGCUCUUUCGCCGACGAAGAUAAUGACGGUAGUCGGAGAAGAAGCCCCGGCUAACUUCGUGCCAGCCGCCGCCGUAAAAC
rnacentral:rRNA from 1 species